CCUUGGGCAGGCCUAAAAUAUUACGUUUCUUGCGGCUUAAUAAUAACACGUUGAGUGGACGAAUUCCCCUAACUCUGACAACCAUCAAUACCCUUCAAGUCCUUGAUCUGUCAAAUAAUCAGCUCACGGGACCUAUUCCAGUUAAUGGAUCGUUUCAGCUUUUCACUCCUAUCAGUUUUGCAAAUAAUCCUUUGGAAGCUCUUCCAGUAUCACCACCACCUCCGAUUUCGCCGACAACUCCAUCUCCUUCUCAAGUGGGAUGAAUAGCCGAGCCGAGCCGGGAAAGUUGAAGCCGCAACAAAUUUAGAAAGUAUAAAAUUCUGAGUGGAACAGAACUUUUCACCGUCUCUCUCUAAUCAUAAGAGGAAGGAUUUGAGAGGCUCGUGAUUGGUCCGUGACCUCAGCUUUAUCACAGCUGUCUUCUUUUUGCCCUAUCCCAUUAAUCAUUCGGGCCCGGGCCGGGCCCCCGCUUCAUAAACGGGGCAGUUGAAUCAUGCAUAGUAUAUGAAUUUUCGGGCCUUUUAUUUUCAUUUAAAUAAAUAUAAUUUUUUAUUAUUUGUGUUA